rnacentral:tRNA from 1 species
GUUGACGUAGCUUAAACACAAAGCAUGGCACUGAAGAUGCCAAGAUAAACCGUAGAAAGUUUCGGCGACA